rnacentral:rRNA from 1 species
GAUGAACGCUGGCGGCGUGCCUAAUACAUGCAAGUCGAGCGAACAGACGAGGAGCUUGCUCCUCUGACGUUAGCGGCGGACGGGUGAGUAACACGUGGAUAACCUACCUAUAAGACUGGGAUAACUUCGGGAAACCGGAGCUAAUACCGGAUAAUAUAUUGAACCGCAUGGUUCAAUAGUGAAAGACGGUUUUGCUGUCACUUAUAGAUGGAUCCGCGCCGCAUUAGCUAGUUGGUAAGGUAACGGCUUACCAGGCAACGAUGCGUAGCCGACCUGAGAGGGUGAUCGGCCACACUGGAACUGAGACACGGUCCAGACUCCUACGGGAGGCAGCAGUAGGGAAUCUUCCGCAAUGGGCGAAAGCCUGACGGAGCAACGCCGCGUGAGUGAUGAAGGUCUUCGGAUCGUAAAACUCUGUUAUUAGGGAAGAACAAAUGUGUAAGUAACUAUGCACGUCUUGACGGUACCUAAUCAGAAAGCCACGGCUAACUACGU